rnacentral:rRNA from 1 species
GAUGAACGCUAGCGGCAUGCCUAACACAUGCAAGUCGAGGGGUCGAAGGAGCUUUCUCCUUUGAUACCGUCGCACGGGGGCGUAACGCUUAUACAAUCUACCUUUUACAGUGGAAUAGCCAAGAGAAAUUUGGAUUAAUGCCCCAUAGUAUAUAACCUUCGCAUGUUGGUUAUAUUAAAUUUCAAACGGUACAAGCUGAGCAUGCAUCCGAUUCGUUAGUAGGUAAGGUAACUGCUUACCAAGAGGAUUAUGAGUAGGGGUCAUGAUAGGGAGAUCCCCUGGACUUGUACUGAGGCCCGGACCCGAAUGCUACGGAGCGCAGCAGUGAGGAAUACUGGGCAAUGGUCGCAAGACUGACCCAGCCACGCGGGGUGCAGGAAGACUGUGAUCGGGAUUGUAAACUGCUUUUAGAGAGGAAGAAUGCCACUAACGUGUGGCAGCUUGACGGUACUGUAGGAAUAAGGAUCGGCUAACUACGUG